rnacentral:tRNA from 1 species
GAGAGGUGGCCGAGCGGUUUAAGGCGUCGCUCUCGAAAAGCGGAGUCUCCUUAUCGGGGACCGUGGGUUCGAAUCCCACCCUCUCC